CUAGAUUGAUGGCGAGUGGCGAACGGGUGAGUAAUACAUCGGAACGUGCCCUGUAGUGGGGGAUAACUAGUCGAAAGAUUAGCUAAUACCGCAUACGACCUGAGGGUGAAAGUGGGGGACCGCAAGGCCUCAUGCUAUAGGAGCGGCCGAUGUCUGAUUAGCUAGUUGGUGAGGUAAAGGCUCACCAAGGCGACGAUCAGUAGCUGGUCUGAGAGGACGAUCAGCCACACUGGGACUGAGACACGGCCCAGACUCCUACGGGAGGCAGCAGUGGGGAAUUUUGGACAAUGGGCGAAAGCCUGAUCCAGCAAUGCCGCGUGUGUGAAGAAGGCCUUCGGGUUGUAAAGCACUUUUGUCCGGAAAGAAAUCGCACUUACUAAUACUAGGUGUGGAUGACGGUACCGGAAGAAUAAGGACCGGCUAACUACGUGCCAGCAGCCKCGGUAAUACGUAGGGUCCAAGCGUUAAUCGGAAUUACUGGGCGU
rnacentral:rRNA from 1 species